rnacentral:lncRNA from 1 species
AAGGCAUCUGUGUAAUUCUGCUACAGCGAGUACCGCAAAUGUGCCCGGCAAAUGAUGAAAUUGGGAAUGAGGCGGCGGGUGAACCAAAACAACUCGGUUGGAUGAGGCCACGACGAAAAACAGUAAGAAAAUAAAAAACAGCAACUUAACUUGUUUCCAGAAUUAACGCCAAAAACUGUUACCCAAGCGAUAAGUGCAGUGCCACGCCCACCCUGGCGACUGUCUAUCGGGGAAAGCAGGUGGCUAGGUAGAAAGCAGCGGAUGGGCAGCAUGCAAACAAAUGGCGUAGCCAAAGUCCCAAUCGU